rnacentral:lncRNA from 1 species
AGUGAGACCUUUGGGUGGUGAUGAUGUUGUGAGGGCAAAGCACUCAUGAAUGAGAUUAGUGACCUCAUAAAAGCAGCCCCAGAGAGCUGCCUUGCCUUUCCUGCCAGGUGAGUACACAGUGAGAAGAUGGCCAACUAUAAGCCAGGAAACAGGCCUCCAUCAACAAGGAAUCUGCCGGCAACUUGAUCUUGGACUUCCCAGCCUCCAGGAUUCUUUCACUGAACACAGUUGAGAAUUCAGAAUUUUUCAUUUUCUGCCCACAAUGGCAAAGAGAAGUGACAAAUGGAGACACAGCACAGUUACGUCAGAAGAUGAAUGCAAAGAGACAGAUGACAGCACUCUAGCAUCAGAUUCUGAUGAAAGGAGAAGAAGACAGAAGAAAGAAGAAGAAGAAACUGAUCAUACAGGCUGAAUGUCCCUAAUACAGAAAUCUGAAGUGCUCCCAAAUCUGAAACUUUUUGAGUGCCAAUAAGAUGCCAGAAGCAGGCAAUGGACAUUGUUAACACUGCAGAAGAAGUGCUUAUUGAUGACUGGUGAAAAUGGCUGAUGGGCUUACUGAAGGCCUAGAGUAGUGUGCAUUCUUAACAGAAGAAGGUAUCAAUCAUAUCAAUUUUUAAAAUCAAAGAGAGAUGUCUAAGAUCAAAACCAGUGUUAACGACGCAGAUGACUCUAGAGGAAACAUUUUUAGAAGCCAACCAGCAGAAAGCCUCCUCAUAACUAGAGGACCCACUUCCUGGUCCCUCAACUGCUUCUGAUGUUUCUUCUCUCCUAAAAAAGCUCAGUGUGCACUAACCUUUUAAUCAAAACACAACAUCAUCAGUGUACGGAUGGGUGAAUUUUUAAACAAAAACACAGCAUUAUAGGUGGAGACUAAAAACCUGCCAUUGUUCAUUGGGGCUGUUGUUUAACAGAUGGUACAGGAAGAAAAAUAUGUUGCAAACAUGGAGGAAAGAUGAUGGCCUCCUUCAACAGAACUAUGAGUUGUCCAAGAUUUCACAAAGUUCUUCAAGCAUGGCAUUUGAUGAUGAGCCCUAAGAUGACUUGAGCCUCACGUCAACUCUCUUUGCUACACGCCCCUCUUUGGAGACCACCACUUCAUGCAAUGGGGAGUGACAUUAGGGCUGAACUUUAAGAAAGAGAACUCUGACAGUAAUGAGAAGACAGAAAAAGAGAAUGACCAGAUAUCCAAAAUGGGAUCGUAGCAUCGAACAUGAGAAGGCCAUGCAUAAGAUGGGGUAGGUCCAAUCAACAAAAUUUGAAAAAAGGUCAGCUUUGGAGUGGUCUGAAAAGGGAGACAAAGGAGGAGACAGAAUUCUGGAUGAUUUCACGGUAACAAUCCUGAGUGACUUGGAGGAUAUAAUAGUAUUAACUAAAAAGGAAAAUGCACAAGACAGCAAUUUGAGGGAAGGACAUUUAGAUGAAGAGAUCCUUGAGAAAUACAUGCAUUUAAAAGACAAGUGGGAGAGAAACUAAUGAAGGAGCUGAAAAUGGCCAAUGACACUGGAAAAGAACGACGACAGUAAAGUGUCCUAGUAGCCAAGGGAAGAGAGAAAGCACUUUUUAAAGGAUGAGAUGAUCACUUGUGUCAACUUCUGUCAAUAAUUAAAGGAGACAAGGGACAAGAUGACAUCCGUGGAUAUGGCAAAUAGCCAAUAAUAAUGAAAGCUAGCAUCACAUCUGCUGCAUGCUUGUCACAUGCCAGGCACACCACUUCAAGAGUUGUACAAUUUAGAAAGACUUGGAUUCAACAAGAGCCUCCAUUCUCCCCUUAUUGCAAUCACCAUGUGAAAAGAAGAGCACUUGGAGAAAAAGGCAUUUUACAUUUGCAGAAGCUCCGCUCAUGGGGUCGAAAUGCAUGCUGCCUCUACCACACUAUAACCGACGAGCUUUUAUUUAAAAGUGUCCCUAAACUAGAACUUUCCACAGCUGAAAACUAAUUGAACAUAUUUCUUUCAAAUCCGAACACACCAGUGAAAAAGGCCUUGCUCACGAAAACAAACACCUUAAGGGCCCAGAGCCAAAUGGGCAAGAUGAAAACGUUUUUGCAGGAAAUAUUCACAGGUUGAGUUGUUCACACAGGUCUGCAAGCAGGUGAAAGAGCAAGCCGCAAAAAGAGCUGCAAAACUGGAAAACAGCACAAGGGUGGCCCAAGACUGUCGUUUCCAAAAGUGUUAUGUAGAACCGCCGCAGCAGCAUAUGGCCAAGAGCGAAGCCUGCCUGAGAGCAAACCGCCAAGUCAAGGAUAGCAGAGCUCAGAGAGAAAAAACUAAAGUCCUUAAGGACAUCAAUGAGUUCCUCAUCAUACCACAUAUUGUCUAGAUCCCAACCACUUCUGGAUUCUCAAUGUUGUGAAAUAAUAAUCCCCUGAUUAUUUAAGCUUCUUUGAUUCAGGCUGUCCAUUACUUGCAGACGAUGGCAUGCUAAAUGUGUGGGCCUCCUCUCCUUCUGGGCACAUGGCAGGACUAUCCUUCCUAGCUCCCUGGUGGCUGGGUAGGCCAUGCCA